rnacentral:rRNA from 1 species
UACGUAGGGGGCAAGCGUUGUCCGGAUUUAUUGGGCGUAAAGAGCGUGUAGGCGGUUUUACAGGUCCGCUGUGAAAACUCGAGGCUCAACCUCGAGCUGUCGGUGGAAACCGUAAGGCUAGAGUCCGGAAGAGGAGAGUGGAAUUCCUGGUGUAGCGGUGAAAUGCGCAGAUAUCAGGAGGAACACCGAUGGCGAAGGCAGCUCGCUGGGACGGUGAC